CCUACGGGAGGCAGCAGCCGCGGUAAUUACCCAAUCCUGACACCGGGAGGUAGUGACAAAAAAUAACAAUACCGGCUCUUUUUGGGGCUGGUAAUUGGAAUGAGAACGAGUUAAACUUUCUAUCGAGGAUCCAUUGGAGGGCAAGUCUGGUGCCAGCAGCCGCGGUAAU
rnacentral:rRNA from 1 species